UAGAGGCCGCUGGUUCCAGGCCAGCCGAUGUCCAGAGCCGGUACCUCUGUGUCGGACAUCUCAGGCCAGUAAGUGGAGUGGACCCCAGAAUCCGCACUGGAGGACCCUUUGGACUUCCCUGAGUCCCCAGACUCGGACUCCGUAUCCGGGUCAUACUCGGAGAAGGUCUUGCGGAGCAGCCGGACUUCCCUGGCGGACAGGAAGUCCUUAAUGUUGUCCUCCUUGAGGCGCAUCUUGAACGCACCAUCGCCGCUCUGCAGCAGCCGCUCGAGCGCCGCGCGCUGUUCCUCGCUGUAGUAGAACUCAGCUCUGGACUCCGGGAUCUUCUCGUUCACGUGCUCGUCGUCCAUGCAGAGCAGCUGCGAGCCCGCCAUGAUGGACUGACGGUUCUCCUAAUCUAAUCAAACUCAGACCUGUGUGGACAGGUACUCAGGUGUGAUCAGAGGGUCUGGGUUGGUGUUUUGAUUUGCAGCACAGUAAAGUUGGCAGGGAAAAGCCCGCUCCUCCCCCGCAGACGUCCUCUCCACCACGAGGUGUCGGAGCGAUCCAUCACCUCGAUGAUGUCGCCGGCGCAGAACCCGAGCUCGUCAUCUUCCUCUGCAGUGAAGUUGUACAGCGCCUUGACUUGCAGAGAGGAGGGGCCCCUCUGUUGGGUGGAGGAGGAAACAGAAAGCAUCAACACAUGAUGGUUCAAUAAAUGUUACUGCACUUUAAAUAUUCAAGAUAAGUUCAAGAAUUACGUCGUUUAUUACCGUUAACUUGUGAUGAUCAAAACCUUUCAGUUAUUAAAAAUGUGUGCCCUCAAA